rnacentral:rRNA from 1 species
GACGAACGCUGGCGGCGUGCCUAAUACAUGCAAGUCGACCUUAGUGGCGAACGGGUGAUUAACACGUUGGUAACCUGCCCCUCAGAAGGGGAUAACACUUGGAAACAGGUGCUAUUACCGUAUACUGAUGGAUCGACCCGCGGUGCAUGAGCUAGUUGGUGAGGUAACGGCUCACCAAGGCCACGAUGCAUAGCCGACCUGAGAGGGUGAGCGGCGACAUUGGGACUGCGACACGGCCCAAACGCCUACGGGAGGCAGCAGUAGGGAAUCUUCGGCAAUGGACGAAAGUCUGACCGAGCAACGCCGCGUGAGUGAAGAAGGUGUUCGGAUCGUAAAACGCUGUUGUUAGAGAAGCGGUAUCUAACCAGAAAGCCACGGAUAACUACGUGCCAGCAGCCGCGGUAAUUC